GGGCUGCAGCAAGGAAUAUUGGGCAAUGGGCGAAAGCCUGACCCAGCGACAUCGCGUGAAGGAAGAAGGCCUUCGGGUUGUAAACUUCUUUUUCCGGGGAAGAAUAAUGACGGUACCCGGAGAAUAAGUCUCGGCUAACUACGUGCCAGCAGCCGCGGUAAUACGUAGGAGGCGAGCGUUAUCCGGAUUUACUGGGCGUAAAGCGGGCGUAGGUGGCCUAUCAAGUCGGAUGUGAAAUCUCCCGGCUUAACUGGGAGGGUGCAUCGGAAACUGAUGAGCUAGAGUGCAGCAGAGGGAAGUGGAAUUCCCGGUGUAGUGGUGAAAUGCGUAGAUAUCGGGAGGAACACUAGUGGCGAAGGCGGCUUCCUGGGCUGUUACUGACACUGAGGCCCUAAGGCGUGGGGAGCAAACAGGAUUAGAUACCCGUGUAGUC
rnacentral:rRNA from 1 species